CUUUAGCACGGUCACCGCCCACACUGACGUGUGAAGGGACGUUUCGAGAAAUUUGACCGUGGUCAUCGGCUAAACUCUUAGUUUGUCCCAAAACCGAUUUGAUUUCCUGGAAGACUUUGGCAGCAGUGAACCAUGGCAGCGUGCUCGAGAUACUCUCUGUACUGGGAAGAGACCGACUGCUUGAGCUACUAUGAUACACUGUCUCUUCAUGAAAUCUUUGAAAUUGUGGGUUCCCAGCUGACGGAGACCGACGUCGAAGUCCUGUCAUUCCUUCUGGAUGAAGCCUACCCGGCCAGACAUCCUCUUGAUCCAGAAACCUGGACUGAAGAUGCUUCACCAGACUCUGAUGCACCUGUAAAUUCUCCUUGCCCAUGCCUGGUGGAGGCUUGGCGCAGGAUAUGUCCCAAAGGAGAGCCAGGUCCGUUUGGUGGCCUUUGCAAGCCGAAGAGCGGCGUUGCGCUGUUGCUGGAAAUGGAGAGACGUGGCUUUUUAAGUGAAGCAAACCUGGAACCUCUUUUGCAGCUACUUCGAGUCCUUACACGGCACGACCUCUUACCGUUUGUCUCCAGCAAGAAAAGAAGAACGGUGUCACCAGAGAGAGAAGCUGUAAGCUACAUGGAAAGCAGAGCACACUCACACACAAGUUUUAACUCAGACCUGGCAAACACACAAGCGUCUCAGUGGAAGGCGGGUGUUGGCUCAGCUGUUAAGGCAUCCGCACCAGCACGAAGGAGACGGGGUAGGGGGCGUGGCCGGGCGAGAAAGGCCAGGGAUACAUCAGAAGUUAUGCCCCAGCCUUCGACGAACAAAGUGACCUGCGACACAAAUUCAAGUUGUCUGUUAAUAGUCACCACCUGGAAAUCUCCUGAGAAAAUCCUGCCUUCAUGGCUAGCUGUGUAUGGUGAGAAACCAUUCCUCCUGCAUUCUGUCAUAUUACAGACAGUUCUAGGUUCAGGUUUGUUACCAAGCUGUGCCAGGCUGUUCAGUGGAAAAGUGUUAAAGUCGAGUUUUAAUGGCUUGCAGAAUUUUAAAAAAAAAUGCAUAAAAUCUUAGCGCACACAGGGGUAUCCUCAUGAAAUGGGUCAUUAUAUUACAUUGAUUUGUCUGUUAUAAAGCAAUUUUGUGUGGACCGUGAAGAAACAGUGUUUUAAAAAAAUUCCAGAAUACAGAAGCUUCACUCAUUGCUUUUUUAAAACAGAGGUGUCAAACAUAUGGAUCAGAUUUUUCUCAUGACGAAUCUCGGCUAUUGAAGCCUGUGUUCCGAUGAAACUCUGAUGGUUUUCAUAUAUAAUGGAUCAGAGGGUUUACCACAACUGUGAAAUCCAUGCCAGCUCAAGUGUGUACUCUCAUUUAAGCAAAAAAGGGACUUACUAAAUACAAAGUAACUUUGAAAUUUGUGUAAACAUGUCGGAGAUUCUCUUUUUUUUAGUCGAGGUUCGUUCAAUGGUAUAAUGUUUCAUGAAAAUUGUUGCAAUAAAUUAUAAAAGGAAAAACGGGCAAAAUACAAGCAUUUUUGCUAGUCUUUUGGACAACUGCAUGUUUUAAUAAAAUCUCCAUUCAGAAUGGACUUUUUAUUAAAUAUCGACUAAAUAAUAAAUAAAAGACUAAACAUUUCUUUUUCUUUGGUCUGGCCCACUACUUUGGUGAAAAUAUAAUGCGGGCUGUUACCUAAAAUGAGUUUGACACCCCUGCUCUAAAGCCUUGAGAUGCAUCAUGAAAAACACAUUACAUCCCCUUAAAGACACCUUACCAAAUAAUCAGUGUUUGCUUAAAUGAACGUGGAUGUCUUAGAAUGGUUGGUGAUUCAUAUUUUCUGUUCGAACAGUGAAAGGGUGAUAAAUAGGUAAAGGAGUGGGCAAGAAAGAGUGCCUCACCGUCAUUACAAAUUGCUGCCAUGUUUAAUGCUGCUCUGCCGUACCAGCAGGUUGGCUCAGGAAUGGGUAGGAAAAGCAGGAGAAUGGAUAGAGAAAGAGAGCGCACGCCACACUAAAGGGCGUGUGCUGUCCUCUCUGUGCGGUCAUACACAUCAUACAAGCCAAGUGUGUUGAUUCUCACUCGUGCUCUCCUUCAUGAGGCCUGGUCCAUGUCUAAGGUAAAAAGUUUACCGUCCUCACUCGGUUAAGAGGAGGGGUGAAAGUGCUGAAUGUUACCAUUAUAAACAAUCCACUUCUUCAAACAAUUUCCCCAAAAGAGCUGUUUUUAAUUGUGUGCUGUUAGUAGACUCUGGGGGAACAGGUAGUACAGAAUUCUGGAGAAAGUUGUUGGCCGCAGAACUGGCUCAAGAAAGGCAGAAUUUUUUUUAAACUGUUCUUUACUUUGUUUUUCAUCAUUGCUAAGUGGGUAAAGAAACGUUCAUAUAAUGGGAAAAUUGUUCUGAAACAAUAUCGUUUUCACAGACCUUUCACAGCUAUCAGGGUUCUCCUGAAUGCGUGUCAUUUGAACCGAUCAAAACUGAGGAAGUCAAUAACAAUAACAAACCUGAAUCUGCCUUGAGUGGUAGCUCAACCUUGAGAAAUGCCCAGUUUUUCAUUUUGUGAGCAGUUCUGAGGAAAAUGACCCAACAGAGCUCUUGCUGAAAAUCCAAUUUAAAAAAAGAAAUGUAGACGUAAAUAUCAUUUGGGGGGGACUACAAAUUAAAUUUAUUUCUAUCUAUAUAGAAUUGAAGCUUAUGAAAUUGCCUGCUUUAACCGCAACAGAGGAACAGCCUUUGGAAAACGUUCAUCGCAAAACUUUGCUUGUCUGUUUCUCUCUCUCUCUCUCCUUUGUGUCCACAGUUGAAAAACAGACUGACUCAAGUGUCAGGGACAAAACAAGUUGGCCAUCCUCACAUACUAAGAGAGGGAGAGAGCGCACUUAAAGAACAAGCUAAAAUAGCGAGCAGUUGGUCAUCAGCCUCCUGCUCUUGUUCUCUCUCUCCCUCCAUCUUGGUUUGUUGUUCGUCACAAAAGAUGGAUGGAUAUAGUGUGGAAGCUCUUCGCAUGGAGCAGCUCCUCGUAAAAAUUGUAACUAAAGGUUGUGUUUUUUGUUGAAGAAGGUGAAAUGUUCUGUUUUAAAUUUUUACUGUAAAUAACAAAUUUGGAAAGUAAACAGCUUACUGUACCAUCAUGGAUUAACUUAAUUUUGCUCAAAUGUCCUUCUGUCUGAUCUUUUGUAAACAGUUCACACUCAAUCCAUCAUUAGAGAAAAACUGUUGCCUCAUGUAUGUUGUACUGAAUCAUCUGCCUAAGCAAAGUAGUGGAGGUGGAAGCUUGAUGGAGAAGUUUUUUUUUUUCUCUUUCCUUUUUUUUUUAAACAAUAACAAAAGCACCAUGUCCUCGCUGCAUAACAGCAUGAGAGGUGCUUUGCAAGGAAACAAAAUAAAAAGUGCUGUGCGAAUGUA